CCUACGGGUGGCAGCAGUGAGGAAUAUUGGUCAAUGGACGAGAGUCUGAACCAGCCAAGUAGCGUGAAGGAUGACUGCCCUAUGGGUUGUAAACUUCUUUUAUAUGGGAAUAAAAUGUUCCACGUGUGGGAUUUUGUAUGUACCAUAUGAAUAAGGAUCGGCUAACUCCGUGCCAGCAGCCGCGGUAAUACGGAGGAUCCGAGCGUUAUCCGGAUUUAUUGGGUUUAAAGGGAGCGUAGGUGGAUUGUUAAGUCAGUUGUGAAAGUUUGCGGCUCAACCGUAAAAUUGCAGUGGAAACUGGCAGUCUUGAGUACAGUAGAGGUGGGCGGAAUUCGUGGUGUAGCGGUGAAAUGCUUAGAUAUCACGAAGAACUCCGAUUGCGAAGGCAGUUCACUGGACUGCAACUGACACUGAGGCUCGAAAGUGUGGGUAUCAAACAGGAUUAGAUACCCUUGUAGUC
rnacentral:rRNA from 1 species